GUAAAAACAAAACAGAGGUGGUGCACUGUAAUCAUCUGUAUUAGAAUUUAUUUUGUUUAGAAAAGGAGUGAGAUUGUAAGCUAAUUUCUACAGGGUUCCCUUCACCUCUUUUACAUGUUGGUACUAUUUUAUCUGCCAAUUGUUAGCUAUAAUAUAUCCCUACUGUAAAAUUGUAACACACUGUGGAAUAUCCUGGUGCUAUGAUAAAUAGAAUACUAAAAGUACAGUUGGUCAACAGAUGUGUAGACACCUUAUUAUUUAAAAGAUUAUCUGCUUCCUGGUAUGACAGGUAUUUCUCAUUCUCAUUUCCAUAAUUCCAGCUUAAUUCCCUCAACCAUUACUGGCAUAAUUCUUCUUAUUACCUUCUUUCUAAGCCCUUUGUUACAGUUCUCCCCAUCUCAUAUUUCUUGCCCCAGUUAAUCCAUUACCUACUUUACCCUCUAUUCCGAUCUCCUCUCAUACUCCAUUCUAUCCCCCCUACAUUGUACCUCUCCUCCUAAGUUUGAGGUUGAUGUAUUAUUUUUCAAACUUAAUCAUGUCACAUUCUGGAUAUAUUGGACAAUAGGACAGUUAUAUGUAUUAUGAGGGAGCUUUCUGGGAUUUGUAGUUCAGCUAACAGUCUUUAUAAGAAGUAUCUCAUAACUGAACCACAAUUUAUAGAAACCCAUACUCUGAGCAGAGUUGAGGCGGUGCACCGAAUGUUACUCAAUGUGCAAAAAUUCAGACUUCACAGACCAGGCUCCUGAUUGGCCAAACUACUUCCUGGCGUGGACAAAGCUGAUCGCUGAUGAUGUAAUGUCUGGGAGUAUGCAGAAAAAGAAAGAUAGAAGUUAUUUUAUUAUUUUGGAUUGCAUGUUUUUUUGCAUAUUUUAUUGCAUUAUCUGUGCAAUAUAUUGGGAAAAUGGAUAAAUACCAGCCUGGAGCGUUCCUUUAAUCAUACUCUUUUCUAUUUUCUUAAAGUGGGCAUAAGUUUUUUGUGUAGUUCAAUAAAAUUUGUAUAAUUUAAUGUGCUUCUCAAUUUUGUUUUUGGUUGAUUCCAUACUACCAUAAAACAGAAAGUAACAAUUCCACUAUGUAUACAUCCACCUAAUGAGUAAUACAGAGUAAUACAGAAGUAUGUAACUUGUAAGAGACUUCACAGUACCAUUAAUUCUUCUGUCCAAGAUGUUUGCAGAAUUGGAGAUCUCUUGCUUUGCUAUAUUUUAGUAAAUCAGGCAAUAUAAGAGCUCUAUCAUUCUAUGAAUAUUUGUGACAUCAUUACACGCUCACACUGUGCAAAGUACAUUCAGGACAUUCCGUAUUCCCGUGUAAAAAAAAUUCAAAAGCCCAUCUGCACAUGUGCAGCCCUAAUUAGGGCUGGUCAGUGUGGCAACCAGUCAGCCAAGUGUGCAUGUACAUAAUUCUGAAAUUAUUCAAUUUUGGGCAGCCAAUGAACUUUAUGGACAAGUCCACCCCUAUUCUAGGCAGGACUUCCAUCCCAACCCCCUUUUCCACAUCCACACCUCCCCAAUUUUUGGAAGUGUGAAUUCUUAAUGUUGCCCCAUCACCAUUUCAGUCAAUCUUUCUGCCAAUUGGUUGUUCAGAUUCAACGAUAUCAAAGAUGAACUUGUUUCAGAAAAAUUCCCAUUCAGGAAUUCAGAUAUUGAUUUAUAUGUUUGCAAUAAAACAACUAAAAAAAAAAAGAGUUGUAGAAC
rnacentral:lncRNA from 1 species